rnacentral:rRNA from 1 species
UAUAUGGGUUAGUGGCGGACGGGUGAGUAACGCGUGGGUAACCUGCCUUACACAGGGGGAUAACACUUAGAAAUAGGUGCUAAAACCGCAUAAGCGCACAGCUUCGCAUGAAGCGGUGUGAAAAACUCCGGUGGUGUAAGAUGGACCCGCGUCUGAUUAGCUUGUUGGCGGGGUAACGGCCCACCGAGGCGACGAUGCGUAGGGGUUCUGAGAGGAAGGUCCCCCACACUGGUACUGAGACACGGACCAGACUCCUACGGAAGGCAGCAG